rnacentral:rRNA from 1 species
GACGAACGCUGGCGGCGUGCUUAACACAUGCAAGUCGAACGGUAAGGCCCUUCGGGGUACACGAGUGGCGAACGGGUGAGUAACACGUGGGUGAUCUGCCCUGCACUUCGGGAUAAGCCUGGGAAACUGGGUCUAAUACCGGAUAGGACUGCGGGCUGCAGGGCCUGGGGGGGAAAGCUUUUGCGGUGUGGGAUGGGCCCGCGGCCUAUCAGCUUGUUGGUGGGGUGAUGGCCUACCAAGGCGACGACGGGUAGCCGGCCUGAGAGGGUGACCGGCCACACUGGGACUGAGAUACGGCCCAGGCUCCUACGGGAGGCAGCAGUGGGGAAUAUUGCACAAUGGGCGCAAGCCUGAUGCAGCGACGCCGCGUGAGGGAUGACGGCCUUCGGGUUGUAAACCUCUUUCAGCAUCGACGAAGCGAAAGUGACGGUAGGUGCAGAAGAAGGACCGGCCAACUACGUGCCAGCCGCCGCAGUAA